rnacentral:lncRNA from 1 species
GGGAGGCUGAAGGGGCCCCUAUGAGGUUCAGACUGGGUGGACAGUUGGGCACCUGGCUAUCCAGGCCAAGGGCAGGUUUGCAGAGAGAGCAGAGGCCUGGAGCUGCUCUGAGCCUGGUUGUGGGGAGAGGUGCAGCCUCCUUCUCAGCCCCACUAUGAAUCAGGGACUCUGGUGAGCAUGUCCAUGGCCUUGCAGCCACAGUAGGAGGGGUGAGGGAUGGCAAGGAGGGGCAGCUUUGAGUGAUUCCAGGAGGGGAGAACAGGGGCAGGAAGAUGGUGGAGACAGGAUGGGGCCUGGAAACACCAGCUUCCUCUCUCCAGGGCUGGGCCACAGGAAAUCCAACCCUCAUGCUUCCCAAGGUGCUUCCUGCAGAUAAGUGGGCUUCCGACCGCCCUUUCCUGCUCCCCCCUUUCCCUACCCCUCCCAUCCUGCUCCAGCCCCAGGGGACCCUGAGCUCUCCCACUCAGUCCAGGCCAGUGGCCUUGGGAAGAGCCUGGGGCAGGGUGGUGGUGGGGAGGUCUGGGCAUCCUGGGGCCACACUUCUAGGCAGGGACGGUCCGCCCAGGCUCGGGGAGAAAGCAGACCAGACCACAGACAACGCUGGAGAUUCGGCUCUUCGGGGACCCCCUCCUCGCCGCUUCUUCCCCGGUGGUCCACGGAUGCUCUUCCGCAGCCAAAGGGCGGUGCGGCCCUCGCUGCUCAGCCACUACCCCCACACCGAGGCCUAGGACUCCCCACACCCCCGGCGCAGCCCCUAAGGGCCCCCACCCUGCUGCGCGGCCCUCACCCUUCGAACGAAACCCUUCCUCACCCCAGGACCCCACAGAGAUUCCCCCGCCCUCGGCUGGCCCUGAGCCCUCUCGGCCCCGCCUCCAGCGCAGCCCCCUUGCCACCCCCGCGCUUCUCUCCCGGCUCAGGCCCCCUCCCCCGCCGCCCCGCCCCGGGAAGGCAGGCGCCGAGCUGAGCCGGGGCCGAUGCAGCUGAGCCGCGCCGCCGCGCCGCCGCCGCCGCCGCCGCCUCUGCGGAGCCCUCGGCGCCGCUGUCCUCCGCGCCGGCCCCGGCCCGGCCCCCCCGGCCCAUCCCGCACAGCGCGGCCGACGGUCCCGGCGGGGCAGGGGGCCGGGGGCCGCGCGGAGUCCCGGUGCGCCCCGCUCCUGGCCGCUCCGCCCCGGCCCCGGCGCGGAUGACGCCCCGGGCCAUGCCGUGGUCGUGCGCGUCGGCAUCCCGGACCUGCAGCAGACGGUGAGCCUCGCCGCUCGGGUCCCGACAGCAUCCCCCGCCCUCCUCGCCCAACCCCCCACCGGCGCGCUCUGAGCUGGGAGCGGGAGACCCCAGGCCCGCGG